CUCACUUGAAUCUGUGGGUAAACAUGGUUUUUCGUUGGAGGUCGGACCUCAACCCACCGGAGUGGUCAGAGCAGACGUUUACAACAUGGUGACGGAAACGCUGGAUCUCAUCAUGGAUUGGCUUGAGAAAUUUAAUUCUGUCACCUCGUUGAUGGGAAUCUGCAAAGAUUAAACAACCAAAAGUGGAAAGCGCUGAGGCUGUUGUCAAUCUAACAGGAAGUACGUUCGAGGGUGGUGAAGUAGAGGCCUACUGUCAAACAGGCGUCCUCGACUACCCAAGAGAUCCCACCACCGACGAGAUCAUCGCUGCUAUUCAUCCCCAGCUACAGGACAACGACUUCAAGCUUCUCCGUGCCGGGGAUCCCAUUUUCCAGUCGUUCAAUGGCGAGACGGUUAAGUACGAGGGCGAGGAGGCCUACCCGUUCUUUGUGAACGAAUGCGCCUACUACGAGAAGAGGAUCGCCUUUCAAUUAGCUCGCAAGAUUAGUAUUUGCCUCCCGUCCGUCUGUGUGAAAAAGGACUGACUGAUUGUUAUUACGA